GGACGAACGCUGGCGGCGUGCUUACCCCAUGCAAGUCGAACGGUGAAGCCCUUCGGGGUGGAUCAGUGGCGAACGGGUGAGUAACACGUGAGCAACCUGCCCCUGGCUCUGGGACAACCACUGGAAACGGUGGCUAAUACCGGAUACGACCCGCCUCGGCAUCGAGUGUGGGUGGAAAGUUUUUCGGCUGGGGAUGGGCUCGCGGCCUAUCAGCUUGUUGGUGAGGUGAAGGCUCACCAAGGCGACGACGGGUAGCCGGCCUGAGAGGGCGACCGGCCACACUGGGACUGAGACACGGCCCAGACUCCUACGGGAGGCAGCAGUGGGGAAUAUUGCACAAUGGGCGAAAGCCUGAUGCAGCGACGCCGCGUGAGGGAUGACGGCCUUCGGGUUGUAAACCUCUUUCAGCUCCGAAGAAGCGAAAGUGACGGUAGGAGCAGAAGAAGCACCGGCUAACUACGUG
rnacentral:rRNA from 1 species